rnacentral:rRNA from 1 species
GAUGGACGCUGGCGGCGUGCCUAAUACAUGCAAGUCGAGCGAACAGACGAGGAGCUUGCUCCUCUGACGUUAGCGGCGGACGGGUGAGUAACACGAGGAUAACCUACCUAUAAGACUGGGAUAACUUCGGGAAACCGGAGCUAAUACCGGAUAAUAUAUUGAACCGCAUGGUUCAAUAGUGAAAGACGGUUUUGCUGUCACUUAUAGAUGGAUCCGCGCCGCAUUAGCUAGUUGGUAAGGUAACGGCUUACCAAGGCAACGAUGCGUAGCCGACCUGAGAGGGUGAUCGGCCACACUGGAACUGAGACACGGUCCAGACUCCUACGGGAGGCAGCAGUAGGGAAUCUUCCGCAAUGGGCGAAAGCCUGACGGAGCAACGCCGCGUGAGUGAUGAAGGUCUUCGGAUCGUAAAACUCUGUUAUUAGGGAAGAACAAAUGUGUAAGUAACUAUGCACGUCUUGACGGUACUUAAUCAGAAAGCCACGGCUAACUACGUG